AGAGACAGAGUGACUGAGAUGUCUGACUUCAAGCAGUCACUAAAAAAUGUGCUGGCCAGAAGGAAAGGGCAAAAUGUAUGUUCAAGUAGUACUACUG